AUUGAACGCUGGCGGCAGGCCUAACACAUGCAAGUCGAGCGGAUGAAGAGAGCUUGCUCUCUGAUUUAGCGGCGGACGGGUGAGUAAUGCCUAGGAAUCUGCCAGGUAGUGGGGGAUAACGUUCCGAAAGGAACGCUAAUACCGCAUACGUCCUACGGGAGAAAGCAGGGGACCUUCGGGCCUUGCGCUAUCAGAUGAGCCUAGGUCGGAUUAGCUAGUUGGUGAGGUAAUGGCUCACCAAGGCGACGAUCCGUAACUGGUCUGAGAGGAUGAUCAGUCACACUGGAACUGAGACACGGUCCAGACUCCUACGGGAGGCAGCAGUGGGGAAUAUUGGACAAUGGGCGAAAGCCUGAUCCAGCCAUGCCGCGUGUGUGAAGAAGGUCUUCGGAUUGUAAAGCACUUUAAAUUGGGAGGAAGGGCAGUAAGUUAAUACCUUGCUGUUUUGACGUUACCGACAGAAUAAGCACCGGCUAACUUCGUGCCAGCAGCCGCCGUAAGAC
rnacentral:rRNA from 1 species